AGUGGAAUUGCUGGGUCAUAUGGUAAUUCUGUGUUUAGGCUUUUGAGGAAUUACAAACUAUUUUCUAUGACAGCUGCAUCAUUUGCUUUCCCAACAGAAAA
rnacentral:pre_miRNA from 1 species